AGUGAACGCUGGCGGUAGGCCUAACACAUGCCAGUCGAACGGCAGCACAGUAAGAGCUUGCUCUUACGGGUGGCGAGUGGCGGACGGGUGAGGAAUACAUCGGAAUCUACUUUUUCGUGGGGGAUAACGUAGGGAAACUUACGCUAAUACCGCAUACGACCUACGGGUGAAAGAAGGGGAUCUUCGGACCUUGCGCGAUUGAAUGAGCCGAUGUCGGAUUAGCUAGUUGGCGGGGUAAAGGCCCACCAAGGCGACGAUCCGUAGCUGGUCUGAGAGGAUGAUCGGCCACACUGGAACUGAGACACGGUCCAGACUCCUACGGGAGGCAGCAGUGGGGAAUAUUGGACAAUGGGCGCAAGCCUGAUCCAGCCAUACCGCGUGGGUGAAGAAGGCCUUCGGGUUGUAAAGCCCUUUUGUUGGGAAAGAAAAGCAGCAGGUUAAUACCCCGCUGUUCUGACGGUACCCAAAGAAUAAGCACCGGCUAACUUCGUG
rnacentral:rRNA from 1 species